CCCUUAGAGUUUGAUCCUGGCUCAGAUUGAACGCUGGCGGCACGCCUUACACAUGCAAGUCGAACGGCAGCGCGGAAGGGGUAACCUUUCUGGCGGCGAGUGGCGAACGGGUGAGUAACAUAUCGGAACGUACCAUCUAGUGGGGGACAACUCGUUGAAAGAUGAGCUAAUACCGCAUACACCCCGAGGGGGAAAGUGGGGGAUCGCAAGACCUCACGCUAGACGAGCGGCCGAUAACUGAUUAGCUAGUUGGCGGAGUAAAAGCCCACCAAGGCAACGAUCAGUAGCUGGUCUGAGAGGACGACCAGCCACACUGGAACUGAGACACGGUCCAGACUCCUACGGGAGGCAGCAGUGGGGAAUUUUGGACAAUGGGGGCAACCCUGAUCCAGCAAUGCCGCGUGAGUGAAGGAGGCCCUCGGGUUGUAAAGCUCUUUUGUUGGGGAAGAAAAGGUCAACUCUAAAACAGAUGACCGAUGACGGUACCCAAAGAAUAAGCACCGGCUAACUACGUGCCAGCAGCCGCGGUAAUACGUAGGGUGCAAGCGUUAAUCGGAAUUACUGGGCGUAAAGCGUGCGCAGGCGGUUAAUUAAGUCAGCUGUGAAAUCCCCGGGCUCAACCUGGGAAUGGCAGAUGAUACUGAUUAGCUAGAGUGAAUCAGAGGGGGGUCGAAUUCCACGUGUAGCAGUGAAAUGCGUAGAGAUGUGGAGGAACACCGAUGGCGAAGCAGCCCCCUGGGAUACCACUGACGCUCAGCACGAAAGCGUGGGGAGCAAACAGAUAGAUACCCUGGUAGUCCACGCCCUAACGAUGUCACUAGUUGUUGGGAGUCAUUUUCUCAGUACGCAGCUACGCGUGAAGUUGACCGCCUGGGGAGUA
rnacentral:rRNA from 1 species